AAGUAAUAUGAUUGAAAACAACAGCCUCUUUAAUUUCUUAGAAUAGGCAAGUUGCAAAUAUCCAGAGGUGAAUCCAUAACUCGGUCAGAUAAGAUAUCCCCAUGACACAACAUCAAAAUCAAAGAGUGUUACCACCACUUCAGCCAGCAUGAGAUUCAAGCCACCAGAACCAACAAUAUAAUCAUGAGAUGGGCCAUCUGUCCUUAUUCAAUGAUAAAUCAUUUGGAAGCAUGUCUCCAAAAUUACAGGUGGAAUCUGGGGAUGAAGAAACAAUCUCCGGAAAGUACUAAUCCUAUAGUUGAAACUCUGAAGUUAAAUACUCCAUCCAUCCCACUGUAGUUGAGUCGAAUUUCUUUUUUGGUCGUCCCACUAUAGUUGAGUCAUUUCCCUUUAUGACAAAAAUCAACACAUUUAAUAUCUCUUACUUUUGCUCAGCAUACUUAACUAUCUCUUCAAUUAUCUAUUUUAUUUACUCUUCUACUUUAUUUUCCCUCACUUGUCUACUUUAUUUUCUCUCCAUUUAACUCACUUAACACCCAUUCCUUAAUCUCCAUGCCUCAAAGAAAUGCCUCUACUAUGUUGGGACAAAGGGAGUAUUUUUCUUGCACAAACUCUAUGAUCAUCGGGUGUUCUUUACGUUCAAAUUACUUUACACUUAUAUCACAGAUGAGUCGCAAGUUAUCACAUUUAAUCUAUCCAACUAGAUAAAGUGUCAGAAGACGACAACUAGUAACCAAAGCAUCUUAAAAUUAAUAGCGACUUUCUUUCUAAUGGUAAUGCAGUUGUAGGUAAGAUCUAAGCAACUUGUCCGCUCAAAAAAGAAUAAUGUACCAUGCGGCCAAAUUCCAAUAUACGAUUCAUUAAAGUAGAUCUUUAAAUAACUAUGCCAACUCAAUUGUCUUUUCAAUUUAUCUACGACCAAGUAGAUUACCUAUUCAAGACGAAACAGAAAAACUGAUGUGAGUGAGAGUUAAAAAGACAUCUUCAUAUGGUUAAGUUGAAAUUUAUAAAGUUAGGAGUACUUGUUAAUUGUUUUAAUAAGAAUCAGCCAUAAGAAAUCAUUAGUAGGCCAAGAAUAUUAAAUAUUUGUCGUUUUCUAAAGGCGUAUAUAUAUUCUAAAAUUUAUUUAGCCAAAACAGGGCAAGUAUUCAAUGCACAAUAAGCUUCGACAUACCACGGAAUAUUAAUUGCUGGUUCAUAUAUAUGUGGAUCACCGGUUAUCAUAAAUGCUUCCUAAAUCGAAGAAAAUGCUUUGACGCUUGGCGUAUUCAUGCCCAACAACUUAAGCCGCAUUUAUAAGCUCAUCCCCAGAACAUUCCACUGAGCUUGAAGAAGCAGAUAGUGCUAAAAAACUGCUCUAAGCAUUCAAUAAUCUAAAAUCUACUGACAACUGAAGGAAACACAGCUGCAUUUCGCUGUAUGCUACACAGAACACAACCACGGAAAGAAGACAAAGCACAUCCAGAGAGAUCGAAGAAAUAUUUCAACAAUCUGAUGCCUCGGAUUAAAGCAUACUAGUAAUCCAACAAAACUGCAGAUAAUUAGGCAACAGCAAUCAUCAAUACCAAUUGCAAUUUCCAUACAACAGCAUAGGACUAACCUAUUACAUCCCCUUGAUCAACCAUUCAAUAUGAUCACAAAUUCACAAUACAUCUCGUAAAUAAACACAGCUAUGACAGCCAAGCAAAUCCCCAAAUUCACAGGCAAAUUCAACCAAAACGCACAAAGGCAGAUUCCAAAUCUGCAGCCAAGCAAGCAGUA